CAUAGGGUUUAAAGGGACAUGCGGUGGCCAUGUUUUUCCUCAAUGUUAGAAAUGUCUACAAAACACACCCAGCUUCUGUAUCUACACCACAAUAAAUUCAUGGCUAUGUUUGUUUGUAGCUGGGCUAGCACCGAGAAUACAUCAAACAAAACGGUUGGCUUAUUUAAUUGUUUUAAGUGAACUGUUUUAAUGCAACCAUAAGUAUACUCUGAAACCGGCUGUUUUAUUUCACAGAAUUCCUUAAGUUUAAGGUGCUGCUCCACUUAGACAAAACAUUUAUGGCAUUUUCUAAACUGCUCAGCAAAUUCUUUUAUUUUGAAGGUUUCAUCGCACUAAAGUAACACAGAAACUUAAGGAAAUCUUUUCAGUUUGUACAUAACCUGCUUUUUGUAUCACAAGUGUUCCCAGAAAAGAAUAUGAACCGUACAAGCGGGAUUAGAAUUAUUUCUGGAAAAGUGUUUGUUGUUAAAUAAUGAGAUUAAGUACAGUAGCAUUUUUAUAAUUAGCUGUUAUACUUACCAAAUUAAUAAACGUUUAUCUGAUGAAAUUGCUCAGUGUAAAUAUCAUUUGAUAGAAGGUGGCAAGAAGAGUAAACACAAUUUACACGGCUAAAAAACUGCUGCUAAAAAAAACUAUUCCUGUGCUUCUCGUCAAUUGCUGCUGCAUACGCUCA